rnacentral:rRNA from 1 species
AUUGAACGCUGGCGGCAUGCUUUACACAUGCAAGUCGAGCGGCAGCGCGGGGGCAACCCUGGCGGCGAGCGGCGAACGGGUGAGUAAUACAUCGGAACGUGUCCCGUAGUGGGGGAUAGCCCGGCGAAAGCCGGAUUAAUACCGCAUAUGCUCUACGGAGGAAAGUGGGGGACUCGCAAGGGCCUCACGCCAUGGGAGCGGCCGAUGUCCGAUUAGCUUGUUGGCGGGAAGUAGUCCGACCCAACGACGGACGACGUACGUACGGUACGUCGGUUCGGUUCGUAGGAAGGGAGGUAGUAGUACUACGACCGGACCAACCUACGGGUACGGGUACGUAGGACGAACCGGACCCCGGACCGAACGUACCCUUA